ensembl:lncRNA
GGACAAUAUGCCUUGGUCCAGGGACCAACUGGUCAUCUUGGAGGCUGGCUAUCAUAUCAUGAAGCUUUGGGGCCGUUAGGAUAAAACACUGAAAAGACACCACAUAUAAAGUACCAAGCAGGAAGUAGUCAUGAAGUGCUAGUUUCUUCUAAUAAGGGUUCCAGACAUUCCUUUGGCCGAAGAGGAGCCUGAGCCAGCACCUCCCCCACAUCCAACCAAGGAAAGACCCGAUCCAUACUCCAAUACUUACAGACGUUUAAUAAAGAUAUCUUACUGAUGGGAGGGAGGUGGCAACAAGUAUUUUCCUGGAUCCAAAGAACACAUCAUAGUUCAAGACUACAAAGAACUCUCCGUGGGAUUUUCUGGAGUCAGUGUGACUUCUCCCAGAAAGUAAAUUACCAAACUGGACUGGAUCUCGGCUUUGUUGAGCUGCAAGUUUGGUUUGAAGUUGAGUUAAAUCAAAAAGAGUGCUUACCAAAAGAAACCACUGCUUCUGGCAGUGAAGCAGCUCAGUCAUGUCCAACUCUUUGCGACCCCAUGGACUGUAGCCUACCAGGCUCCUCCCUCCAUGGGAUUCUCCAGGUAAGAAUACUGGAGUGGGUUGCCACUUCCUUCUCCAGGGGAUCUUCCAGACCCAGGUAUCGAACCCAGGUCUCCCGCAUUGGAGGCAGACGCUUUAACCUCUGAGCCUAACAAAUAUCCCAGAUACCUUUGGGAGGGUUAGCAAAUCAUAAGAUCACAUGCUUGCCAUAUGAAUUAAUAUAGGUUAUCCUUUCUUUAUAGCGGGUUUGUGUAGAGAGAGAGAGGACAGGGAUGCAUAAAGGACUAAGGGGCUUUCAGUCUGAUGUCUGCCUUCGUGAUGGUGUCUUCACAGGUGAUCAAGAUAUCUUUAAUCUACAAUC